rnacentral:rRNA from 1 species
UGCUGAAAGCAUCUAAGCACGAAACUUGCCCCGAGAUGAGUUCUCCCUGACUCCUUGAGAGUCCUGAAGGAACGUUGAAGACGACGACGUUGAUAGGCCGGGUGUGUAAGCGCAGCGAUGCGUUGAGCUAACCGGUACUAAUGAACCGUGAGGCUUAACCUUACAACGCCGAAGCUGUU